rnacentral:tRNA from 1 species
GCCUGGGUGGCUCAGUUGGUUAAGCUUCUGACUUCAGCUCAGGUCAUGAUCUCACAGUUUGUGGGUUUGAGCCCCGUGUCAGGCU